UACAGAUGGGGCAAGCGUUGUUCGGAAUUACUGGGCGUAAAGGGCGCGUAGGCGGCCGCCUAAGUCAGACGUGAAAUCCCUCGGCUCAACCGGGGAACUGCGUCUGAUACUGGGUGGCUUGAAUCCGGGAGAGGGAUGCGGAAUUCCAGGUGUAGCGGUGAAAUGCGUAGAUAUCUGGAGGAACACCGGUGGCGAAGGCGGCAUCCUGGACCGGUAUUGACGCUGAGGCGCGAAAGCCAGGGGAGCAAACGGG
rnacentral:rRNA from 1 species